rnacentral:rRNA from 1 species
UACAGAGGUCUCAAGCGUUGUUCGGAUUCAUUGGGCGUAAAGGGUGCGUAGGUGGCGGGGCAAGUCUGGUGUGAAAUCCCGGGGCUCAACCCUGGAACUGCACUGGAUACUGCUUUGCUAGAGUACUGGAGAGGGAACUGGAAUUUACGGUGUAGCAGUGAAAUGCGUAGAUAUCGUCAGGAAGACCAGUGGCGAAGGCGAGUUCCUGGACAGUUACUGACACUGAGGCACGAAGGCCAGGGGAGCAAACGGG